GUGUCAUAGUCCUUGGUCUGGCUCUGCCCACUUCAGGUUCUGCAGAAUUUCCAAGUUCAGCCCCUUGAAGAUUGUGGCCCCUGCUCUCUACUAGUAUAGAGAAGGAAGACUGGGGUAUGGUAAUGCAUGCCUAUAAUCCCAGCAAUCUGGGAGACUGAGACAGAAGGAUUGCAAGUUUGAACACAGGCUGGGAAAAUCAGUGGCUUAGCAAGACACAGUCUCAAAAUAAAUAACAAAAAAAGCCAGGGAUGUAGCUCAGAGCAAAGGCAAGGAAAUGCCUGGAGCUCUGGGGCUGGCUGUUGUAUAUGUGAUCUUGGAUAGGCUUUUUUCCUUCUCUGGAAUCUGUUUCCUUGGUGGUGAAAUGGCCCGAGUGAUACUCACAGGGUUAUUUGGAAAAUUUAAUGCGAUAGUAUAUGAGUACAGAGCUGAAUUGAAAAUCUAAGAGGUGAGUUACUCUAGGAUAGGGGGAGUAGAAUAACCUGGACCAGGUCUAUUGUGUGGGGAGGGGGAAGGAGGUGAAGGGGAAAUAGCAUCUGAUAUGACAGGGAGGUCUGGUGAAUUAGGAGUCCAGAGGCUCCUGUGCCAUGCUGAGGUCUCUGCUGAGCAGAUACCGAGGGUAGUCUGUUGUUUACCUAGAAGAAUUUAUAAUAAUCAAAAUCCUGGGAUGUAUAGAGCCAGAGAAAAUACUAUUUGGACAGUGGCCAGCCUGGAGGAAGGAGAGAGUAGGUGCAGGGAGCAGGAGAUGGAAUCUUCCUCUCCGAAGACCACAGCUACGCUCAUGAAUUUGAGUCAUCCUGCAGACCUUAAGUGUUGGAGAAGGGGAGGUCAGUCCCAUAUUCCUUGCCUCUAGGACUAGUUGACUAGGGGAGAAAGCUUCCUAAGCAAAAGAUGCAUGUAAGUACACAAGGCCUUCAGCCUUCUGCUCCAGCCUUGUGCCCUGGCAGACCUAUCCCAUCUCACCCAGCACAGAUCCACACCCUUCCAGCUCUCCAGAGAUAAGUUUCUGAGUACAGAAGUCAAAGCCUGGAUUGAACCUGUUGAAUGAAUAGGAUCAAAUACAUUCUUUCUAUCCCCAGGCUGAAUUUCUCCAACCCCUCCAGACCACAUUCAAGGAAGAGUUACAAAAAUGUCCUCUUGGUUCCCAGAGGAAUAGAAUGCAGCUGUUUAGGUCUGUGAUGGGCUCAUAAAAUUGUCUACUGGCCAGUGUUACGCUCAAACAAAAAACUUCUGAAUUUUGUUUUUGAGGCCCUUAGAAGAGAACAAAAUCUCAGACUUAGCUGGGGUGGAUGUCCAUGAGAAGAAGGGACUGUGUGUGAGAAAAAUUAUAGGGGCAAAAGUGAAGGAAGGCAGACCAACAAGGAGGCUGCAGGAUUCCAAGUGAGAGGGAGGUGGCUUGGGUUGAGAGAUCUUGGAUGGAUUUGGAGUUGAAGUCCCAGAACUCACUGUGGAAUGGAUAUGUGGAGAAGGAGAAAGGAUGACUAGUAGUGAUAAGCCUGAGCUGCUGAGGAACUAGAGGUGCUGGCCACUUUUCCUUCCCCAAGGUACUAAAAGACACCAAGGUAUCAGGAAGGUAGCUGGAUUGAGGGAGCUUGAGCCAUAACAUUGAGAGACAUCAUAAUCUAGUUGGGGUCCAAGGUCACAAGACCAGGCAAGACAGGAAAGAAUGGGAAGUGAGAUGAAAAGGAGUCUCAGUCCUGGGGCAGAGGUUAGGGAGAUAUGAAGAUAUCAGAAGAGUAGAAUGAGCGGGGCACCCAGGCAGGAAGAAAGCUAAGUGUAUGGUCCUGCUUCAAUAUGCAUAGCGGAUUGAUUCCAGGACAUCCUGUGGAUGCCAAAACCUGUGGAUGCUCCAGUCUCUUACAUAAUAUGGUACAGUAUUUGCAUAUAACCUGUGCAAUUCUCCUGUGUACUUUAAAUCAUCUCUAGAUCACUUAUAAUGCCUAAUACAAUGUAACCACCGUGCUAGUAGUUAUUAUGCUGUAUUUUUUAGUGGAUGAUGACAAGAAAAGUUUUUCUGUGUUCAGCCUAGACACAAUCUUUAAAAAUAUUUUCAAUCCACAAGAAUUUGUUGAAUCCACUGAUCUGGAAACCACAGAUAUGGACAGCUGACUCUAUAGUUUAUUAUAAGCUUGUAAAAGCAAGUGUGCCAAGAAAGAAAUGGUCACUGUGUUGGAUACUGCUGAGUAGGAAAAGUAGGACAAGGACAGAGAAACAAUCAUCAGAUUUGCCAUCACAGACAUCCUUGAUAGCAUUAAUGUGGGAUUUCCAUGGAGCAAUAGGGAUGAAAGUCCAAAUGGGCAAAAUAGGAGCUGCCAGUGUGAAGGUAGAGGCAAGGAGUACAGUGCAGGGGGAUGACUGCCUUUUUCCAACCAUUGUGUGAGAGGCACUGAGGGGCUCUAGGCUUUGCCGAGUGACCACAGCCCUCAGUCAUCACAAAGAGAAAAAGGCCUUGUGUCUUGGAAGUCAAGGCUUGGGCUUGCCAGGGUAGAUUAGUAGAUGAGUGGGGCUGGGGAGGAUGAGGUAGAUAUAGGAACCCAUGCCUAAUGCUGUCUUUUCUCUGUAUAAUGACAGCCUGGCUUUGAGAUAUCAUCUCUGCUCAUUGCCAGGAGGGUAGAAAGGUGGGCUUCAGUGCUGUCCAUCUCUGUGCUCUGCCUGUGUGUGUUAUGCUUCUGAGGAAGCUGCACUGUUUUAUACAACUACAUUCCAGAAAGAAAGACAGAGGCACUUCUUAGUAUAUAUUCCUCUGAUUUGUAUCUACAUGUGUUUAUUCUUGCAUAAUCACACAUUGUGAGCAGUUUCAGGCCUAUUAUUUUUCCACUGAAUGUUACAUAAAUAUAUAUUCUCUAUGUUGGUAUAUGGCUUUCAUGGAUAUUAUUGAUUACAUAAAAUUCACAUAAUACGCCCCAUGUUCAAUCAAUUCAUCCUCUACUGGUAUUCAUUUGAGUUAUUUUCAAUAUUUAUAGACAGCAUUGCAUUGAAUAUCUAUGUAAAUGGAACUUACUCUGAUAUAUUCUCAUAGAACUAAUAGAUUUAGGAUUCUUGAUAUCUACUUGCUAUUUGUUGGUGGGAGGACUGACUGGACCCACUCACUUAGAGUAGAUCCCUUACUCUCAUACACUUGUCUGGACACUAUCAUUUAUUUUUAUUGUUUUACUUUGAUGGGUGAAAGAGGGGUCUCAUUGUAGCUUCAAUCUGUCUUUCUUUGGUGGUUAAAUAAGAUGCUGAUUUUUCUCAACUGUUCAUUUACUGAUUCUACUUCUCCUCACUGGAAAAAAUAGUUCCCAUCAAGUGAUCCACAUUUGCACCUUUCCCAGUAAGCUUUCUGAAUGGUUAACCAGGCUGUCCUCAGCUGGUGGAAUGGUUCAAGAUCAAAUAUUUGUGUCCUCCUGCAUGUUUCCGCACCUCUAGCCAGUCUUCAACAGUCAUAUUCUUCCACUUGAAGGCCUCACAGUGGCCUCAUAUAGACUGUCUUGUAACCCUUCAUUGACUGCCUGUAGUCACUUCCCCUGGACUUAGAAGAGCCUUUGGGAAUAUAUCUUGACCAACUGAUUAGUCAACACUGACUGCUCACAAUUCUCCACAGUCUGCCUCUAUCCACUUGCCACCUCUCCCAAGGCAAUCUUGGGCUCUGGUUACCUUGUCAUUGCUUCCUAUUUAGGUAUGUUUCUCCCUCUCUCUUGUGCCUUGGUUUAUGAGACCUCCUCCAAGAAUGCUUCUGUUUACUCUUGGGCCAUAUCCAACUAAACUAAACUCAUCCUCUGAGACCUUGCCUCCUUGGCUAAGCCUUCCUGGAUAUUUUAAAGCCACUCAGCCUCCUGUGCCUCUGAACAUCUGAAGGAUUUAUAGUCUAUAGGGGCUCUUUGAAAGGGCUCCCAAUACUCCAACAAAUAGUUCCUUUUCCCUACUCAACUUCUGAACAAAUUGAGAAAGAAAAACUGAGAUGAAAGCCAAAUUGUCAUCUUCUUUAGUGAUGGAGGCUUAGUGAAAGAGGCAGUUUAGAGUGAGGUCAACUGGAUAUGCAAACUGAUGUGAGAAUUACCCCUUUUCCACUUCACUCUAGUCUCACAUGAUCUGGGUGAGAGAGGCCCCACAUGUCACAGUCAGUGGAGACCCACACAUGGAAGGGAACAUGAGGAGUAAGAAAUCUGACAGAGCUCCUCACAGACCAUACCCCAGGGGAAAAUGUUAAAUCCUGUCUUGAAUUAUAAUUUAGUCUAUCUAUGGGUUUUGUCACUCUGGCUACCUUUGAGUUCCUUGAGGCCCAAGGAAGGUACAACUUCUUAUUGUCAUAGUGCCUUCCAGUAGGUAAAGAAGACUCGCCGUUAGCAAACUCCUUCUUCCCAUGUCUACCCACUCCAACUAGAUCUGAGAUUCUGUUCUGUUUUGAAGACCUCAUUUCUCUACUGAGGCAUGCCUGAGUGUGCAGGCAGAACCUAUAGGAAGAAACAGGGAUGUAACCACUAUCAUUGACUCAGGUCUCAGUCAGGAUGGUGAUAGGCCCUUUUCUGAGAGCAAGCUUCAUGAAGGUACAAGGACUGAGGGGACUAUUAUCCUUGGUGUCCUUACACUAGGAUAGAGGAGACAGCCAAACAAGAGAUUGAGAUAGCACAGGCAUGCUUUGCUCAACUCAUAAGAGUUGUGCUAAGAGUCUCUUUAGGGCUUCUAGUAGACUGAUUAAUGAAUUAUUUCUCAUCCAAGGCAGAGAGGAUUAAAUAUUGUGGGCUGGAUGUAGAAGCCCAUGGCCAGAGCUAGGUUACAAACUUCACUGCUCUGCUGGCUGCUGCUUUCUAGAGGCAUUUUGAAGCCCACCUGGUAAUGCCUGGAUUCCAGAGCUGUGGGUGCACACACAUCAUUGUACCACAUAGAGUUAGAAAAAGAUCUCUCUAAAAAUAACCACCGAGGAAUAUUUAAUUUGAUAGCAAGACUGUGACUAAUCCAUGAAACAAAGAGUCUGUGUGACAAGAUGCAGUACAAUAAUGGGGAGAAAUUCAUGUUUGACCUUUAAGCAAGUGCAAAAUGAAACAGAUCUAUACCUCAGCAGCUGAGGAUCCUGUGGGUCAAGGGAGAGUGGCUAUGAAGAGGGGAUUUGGGGGCUGGGGAUUUAGCUCAGUGCUUCCGGUGCCUGUUUCGCAAGCGCAAGGUCCCGAGUUCGAUCACCGGUACCAAAAAAAAAAAAAAAAAGAGGGGAUUUGGGCUGGGGAUUUAGCUCAGUGUUUCCACCACCUGCCUCCAAAGCACAAGGACCCAAGUUUGAUCCCCAGUACAAAAAAAAGAAAAAGAAAAAGAAAAAAAAAGAGGGGAUGAGAACUGAUGGAAUAAAUAGUUCUUGAGGGUACUGCAUAAUGGAAAUAGCUUAGGAAAAUCAAUACCUUUUGGUGUUAAAUAGAGAGAAGAGGCUAGCACUGAGCUAAAUGCUGGCUGAGAAGAGGUGGAUGCUGCUAGCCCAGCUGGGCAAAAGUGAGCAAACUGGCUCUUUUAGGCUGGCUUGAAGGAGAAGCAGUUCCCACAAAUACAAUGAGAACCAGAAUUUUUGGCAACCAAUCUGAGCUGGUAGAGAGGGGAGCAAGGUUCCAAAUAUUUAAUGAACAUUUACCCUGUGCUAGGCUCUGUGUUGAGAGUUUUGCAGGUAUUAUCCUCAUACAUAUUCUUUCUAGAGAAGCUAUUAUUUUUACUUGACAGAGGAGAAAACUGGGUUUAGAAGUUUAAACCACUUGCCUGGAGUCAUCCAGCUUGGAAGUAUCUAGAGCUGGAUGUGAGUCUACUCCUGACUCCAGAACCCUCAAGCUCGAUUUCUCACUGAUAGUUCACUCUGAACUUGAAAAUCUCCAAGACUGUACAUCAACAAUGAACCCACUAAGAAAGGAAUUAGGAAAACAAUCCCAUUCAUGGUAGCUUCAAAAAAUUUAAAUACUGGGGCCAGGGAUUUUUCUCAGUGGUUCCGCUGCCUGCCUCAAAAGCGCAAGGUCCUGAGUUCCAUCCCGGGUACCAAAAAAAAAAAAAAAAAAAAAAAAAAAUUAAAUACUUAGGUACUAACUUAACCAAGGAAGUGAAAAAUAUCUAUAAGGAAAACUAUAGCACUCUGAAGAAAGAUUGAAGAGGACAUUAGAAAAUGGGCAGAUAUCCUACAUUCCUGGAUGGGCAGAAUCAAUAUUGUCAAAAUGACCGUAUUAUCAAAAAUAAUACUUGGAUUUUAUGCAAUUCCAGUCAAAAUACCAACAACAUUCUUCACAGAACUAGAAAAAACAAUCCUAAAAUUUAUAUGAGGCUAUUUAUAUGGAGCCAAAGCAAUCCUGAACAAUAAGAGCAAAGCAAGAGGCAUUACAAUUCCAUAUUUCAAGUUAUACUACAAAGCUAUAAUCAUCAAAAGAGGAUAAAAAAUAGACAUGUACAGCAUUGGAAAAGAAUAGAAGAUACAGAAACAGCCCUUUUCACCUUUAGUCUGAUCUUUGACAAAGGUACUAAAAACAAAUGCUGGAGAAAAGACAGUCUCUUUAACACACGGUGCUGGGAAAAUUAGUUAUCCAUGUGUAGAAGAAUGAAUCUAGACCCAUCCGUCUCAUCCUAAGCUAAUAUAACAUCAAAAUAGAUCAAAGACCUACAUAUAACAACAGAUGCUGAACAUGCUGGAAGACAAAAUAUCUAAUUCUUGAAGACAAAGGCAUAGGCAUAGUUCUUUUUGAACAGAAUCCCAAACUAUACAUGAAAUAAUAUAAGAAUAGCAUUACCCCAAAUUAAAAAAAACUUCUGCAUAGCAAAGGAAAUAGAUUGAAGAGAUAACCUACUGAAUGGGAAAAUAAUUUUACCAGCUACUCCUUGAAGAGAAGACUAAUAUUUUGAAUUUAUAAAGAACUGAAAAAAAAUUAGACCUCAAAAAACAAAAGACCCAAUCAAAAAUGGGCAAUUGAAAUGAAUAGGCACUUCUUAAAAGAAGUGCAAAUGACCAAUAAGUACAUAAAAAGCUUUUCAGCAUCUUUGGCCAUUAAAAAACAAAAAUCAAAACACUGAUAUUCCAUCUUACUUCAGUAAGAAUGGGUAUCAUCAAAGACUCAAGAAACAACAAAUUUUGGUGAGGUUGUGGGGAUAAAGGAAACUUCUACAUUGUUAAUGGGAAUGUAAACUAGUAGAACCCCUAUGAAAAUCAGUAUGGAGAUUUCUCAGAAAACUAAAAGUAAAAAACUUCAAUUUGACCCAGUUAUACCCUUUCUGGGUAUCUUUCCAAAAGAGUUAAAGUUAUCAUAUUAUAAUGAUUAAUGAAUACUCAUGUUUAUAGCAGCACAGUUCACAAUAGCUAAAUUCUGGAAGUUACCUAUACUGUAUGCCUAUCAACAAAUGAAUGGAUAAAGAAAAUGUGGAAAAUAUACACAAUAGAGUACUACUCAGCCAUAAGAGGGAUAAAUAUGAGUUAUUUGUAGGAAAAUUGAUGGAUCUUGAGAUAUAAUGCUAAGUGAAGUAAAUCAGACACAGAAGGUUAAAUAUCACAUGGUUUUUCAUAUGAGAAAGCCAAAAUAUAAAUAAUUUAAACAGCAAAAUAAAGAUGGCAGGAAACAGGAAGAUUUUGAAGAUGGGAAGAUCUGGGAAAGGAAAAGAGGGGAAAGGGAAAGAAGAGUAAAGAUGAUCAACAUGCAAUAUGUGAAUGUACCAAUUCCCAAAAAUGAAUGUAAUUAUUAUAUGUCACAAACAUAUAUUAAUAACAAAUUUUAAAAAAGAAAAGAAAAAGCCUAAGCCUGGCCUGAUAGCCUGGGAUCAUGGGUGGGAGGCUGAGGACAGGUGUGGUUUCAGUGGGGGCUGUCUAGUGAUGAGUUCUCAUAGAAAAUUGCUGAGAUUCCUGGCAUGGCAGGUUUCUAUAUGGGAUCAUUUCUCUGAUUGUUCUAUAAUUCACGACUGCAUAUUAUAAAUUUUGAUCCAUUGCCUUGGGUUCUAAUUGGAGAACAUUCUCCAUUUCAUAGAGUUGCUUUCUUUAGUGGUGACAAGGGGAAUACUGUUCCUGCCACUCCCUGGGUAGGGAUCCUAUGUAUUCUGAGUACAUCCAACGUAUGCUCAUAUGAGAGUUUGUUAAAGAUUUUUUUUCCAUUCUCUAAUAAAUAUUUAUCAAGAAAGAGAUCAACAACGGUCUUUGAUUAGAUUCAGUGCCAAUUGGUGUCUGGCAUGCUUGGCAUUAUUCUGUCCCUGGCCCCUUUGCAUGUGCUGGGUUGUAGGUGGCAAUCAAGGAAUUAAGGCUGCAGCUGAAGCAGUGGUCCCAGAAACCCUCUUAGACACUGGAAAGUGACCUGGGCAGGGAAGUAAAUUGUUCUUCCUCUUUGAGCUUGGGAGAUGAGGCCUGGAGUUUGAGCACAGAUGUGCCAUCUUGAAAAUAAAAGAAGGAUUGGCUCGAGGAGAGAUGCUUGGAGUAGUCUUGGGUUAGGCAUGGUCCUGGAUGUCUCUGCACAGACUUUCUUGGGUGCUCAGAGAAUUGGGGAAUAUCCAGCAGUGCCUCUAAGCCCAGUCCAGGGAGAUGGACCUUUUCCUAGGCUGUUCCCUCGAGAAGCCCAGAAUAUCCUUGAGGGGCCUGGUCUUAUUCAUGUCUCUUAUCUUUGCUUCUGACCCAAGUCCAGCAACGAUUGUUGCUCUAAUGUCAUGUGAUCCAGCAAGGCUCUAAGACCAGACUCUGCCUCCAACUCUAGCCACACUUUUCCCACUCUCCAGUUACUUGUCACUCACACAAUACAUGUUGUUUUCCAUUCUUUGGCUACAUCAAGGUCCUCCCCUGCCAUGUCUACUUCCCUAAAUGCUGUUCUCUUUGUCUAGAACACUUUAUCUACUUCUUUACCUGGCUGAUUUAUCCACAUUGACAGGUUCCAGCUUAUUGUUUUUUUUUUUGUUUGUUUGUUUUUGUUUUUUUUAGUAUCAGGGAUCAAACUUGGGACCUUGCACUUGUGAGGCAGGUGGCAGCACCACUGAGCUAGAUCCCUGGCCUGACAGGUUCCAGUUUAGCUAUCAUUUCCUCCAGGAAGUCUUCCUUGACUUGCAAACUAGGUCAGGCUUCCUGGCUGGUGCUGUCUUUGUUCUUAUGUCUGCAAUUAGAGGUUCACUUGGGUAAUAAUUGGUCCAAUGUCUUCCUCACAACUAGAUGGUAAACUCUGUGAUGGGAAAGACCGUGGACAUUUUCUGACCUGAAACUUGCAUAAUAAGUGAGCAAAACUUUUUGGAGAAUAAAUGAUUCAAAUUUCUCACACUUCAGUCACAUAACAAUUCAAACAUGGGGUAGCUGGUGCUGUACCAAACAAACAGGCUUUGUUUUGCAGUUAAUGAAUUAGUGAAGGCAUAGCAAUUGAUUGCUUUUUAUGUGUAGAGAAAUUAUCUCUGUCCUGAUUUUCAAUAUCUGUGCUAUUUUGGGCUGUUUUUCUCUUUUUGGCCUAUUUGUAUUGCCGCAAUAAUUUCACCAUUUGGCUUCACAGAGGCCCAAUAACUAUUACAAAUAAGGUUCCAUAAAAUUUACUUCUUGACAUUAGAAUGUUUUGUUGCUAAUUACUCUCUGAGGUUUUUAAUUUCAAUCCCUCCUAGGUGAUUUAGUGCAGAAAUUCAAGGGCACAGUUAUUUCCCCCAAAGGGAAAGGAGAACUAAGUAAUGCCAAGUUUCUAUUUGCCCUACCUUCUGGUAGAGCUAUCUCAGUUUUGAUUCUAUCUAUUGUACUUUAUCCUGGCCAGAAAAGAAUAAGUGAACAAAAAUCUUACUGGAAAAAAGAUAUAAAUUCUUGGGGAAAAAUAAAAGUACUCUUUCACUAAUGUAGUCAUUUGAACAAUAUUUAUUGAGUACUUAUGAGGUGUGAUCCAAAAAUAAGAUGAAUGCUUAAAUUUUUAAAAAAUUAAGUAAAAGACAUUACCAUGAAUCCCUCCUCAAAAUACUCCCCCUUGCUUUGAACACAGUUACUCUGUCAUUCUUUGAAGCACUUCUGGAAGUUCUCUCUUGUGUCUUUAGUUGUGCUGUUGUGGUUGCCUAGAUGUUCUGAAUCAGUUCAAAACAUUUACUACCUUUCAUGGUCAUUUUGACUUUCAGGAAGAGCCAGAAGUCAUAUGGUGCCAGAUCUGGUGAAUAAGGUAGUUGAAGACAUACAGUAAUGUUUUUACAAGGCUGCCGUUCUGUUGGCUGGCAGCAUUCAUUAUAUUUUUUGUCACACCUUGUAAAGACAGUCAGAAAAGAGGACUGUCAGAACUGCUUCAGAAAGUGGCAAGAACAAUAGGAUAAAUAUUUUCAAAAUGAGGGGGAUUAAUGGCAAUCUGUCUUUUACUGUAAUACUUUAAAAAAGGUUAAAAAAUAUUCACUGUAUAUUUUGAUCACACCUUGAAUUAUGCAUCAGAUUCUGUGUUCUAGGCAUGGAAGAUGAAUAAAAGAAUACAACAUGUUGCUGUCUCCAGGUAGUUCACAGAGUUGGGUGGGCAAGAAAUGUUGAAGAUUCUCAGGCAUGUCUGGGAGUGAAUCUCAUGGUGGAACUUGGUAGCAAAAGCCCAUCCAGAAGUGUCAUAUCAGUCUCCAGGGGUUGAAAUGAGGGGAACUUUGGUUAUUUUUCAUUUGAAGACACUGUCUAACUGGAAAGAAUGUGAAUUUUAAUAAUAUUUUGAAUGGGUUGAUAAAAUAGGAACAGAUGGUUAAAGUUUGUCAUUUCAGGAAAAAUAAUGAAAUAUUGCACAGCUGAAUCUGCCUCUCUUUCACACUCUUCCCUAUCCCCUCCCCACCGCAGAUACACUCAGAUGCAUGAAAAUUUAAAGCAAAAUACUAAUAAUAUCUUUUAGCCACUUUAGGUCUCCAUACCCAAAAGGACCCUAACUUUUUCAGCCAUUUCUAUGUUACUGUGUUAGCCUUUUAUUCCAAUGGUGCAUCCUGAGAGGAGCCUUUCUACAGGAUAUUGCUUUGUGGGGAUAUAAGAGAUGGUGGGGAAGUGAGACUUGCCUGAGUGUCUCUCUGCCAUGAAGAAAACUGGCUUUGCUUUAUUGACCAGAGCAGAUGUACUCUUUGAGGAACUCAGCAGGGUAAGUAUGAGUUGGGUAAGAUAUCCUAUCUACCAGCUCCUAGGAUUUUUAUGAGUAGAAGCUCUAACUGCUGACACGUUCCUGGUCAAGAGAAAGCAGAUCCUCACCAUUAUCACCUGUACUUUCUUGGAUUUAUUCCAGUUGCACAUCUCUGAAGUUUUCCUUUUAUUCUGCUUGGACAGCACAUUAGAUGAGAUCAAACGCUGAGAGAGAGACAUAAGCACUGCUUUGGCACUGUUGCUAGAAACUCUUGGGAGAAUGAGCAUUGUGUACCAUUUGCCCAUUGCUUGCCGACUUCAGUAGCAAGAGUCUUCAGAAUGCUCCUGGAUAAACAUAAUCUUUGUGGCCAUACAUUGUUUUAUGAGCUGAGUCUUUAGCUUGGCUGGCUCCUUAAAUGCUGCUGUCUGAUUCUCCAGGCAGCAGAAAACAAGGAAAGAAGAGCUCACCGAGCUUUGUGGAUGGCCAAUUUCACUUGCCAAAGGCUAUUUUGAAUAUCCACCAGUCUGAAAGAGUUUCCUGCUGAAAGCAUGACUACUUCCUUACUCAUCGAGUUUCGUUUAUCAUUUAAGGAUGAAUGCCCUCCUAUCCUGUAGCUGAGGUGUGCAAUCAUGGUGUGGACAAUUUUUUUGGAGGGAGUCUGAAGAAACUGUUAUCUAAGAUGGAUUCAUACUGGAAGCAAGAGAGCAAACUGGGAAAAAUGGCCUUAGGCUCUGUGAUUGUCAUUGUGUACAUUAGACAAGACAAUGAAAGUAGAGGAUGAAAUAAGACCUUUCUGGUUGUUCAGAAGGCCUGUGUAGCUUGGCCCCACUUACUGGACAGAGCUUCCUGGAGAGAGUUUUUCGAGAAUGUGGCUUCAUUCCAUAGUAUUGCUUUAUGGUGGCCAUUGGGCAGGGGGAUCUAUCUUCCUGGGAGUUAGUUACAUAAAUAAAGACAUCUCUUUUGUUAUGCUCUUGGAAUCCCUUACCUUUCUCCCCGCAAAAGAUGUAUCUGGCUAUUGAGAAACUAAACAUUCACAGAACAGACAUUUUCUGGACAAGACUGGGCAGCCUUUAUUGGUGGGUGAAGUAGUCCAGAGAUCAAGAGGUGGUAGCAAUAAUUCAGGUGAGCACUCUCAGGCCUGAGAGAAAUUACCAGUUACAAAGGAC
rnacentral:lncRNA from 1 species